rnacentral:rRNA from 1 species
AGCGAACGCCGGCGGCAGGCUUAACACAUGCAAGUCGAACGCCCCGCAAGGGGAGUGGCAGACGGGUGAGUAACACGUGGGAACGUACCCUUUGGUUCGGAAUAACUUGGGGAAACUCAAGCUAAUACCGGAUAAGCCCUUAUGGGGAAAGGUUUACUGCCGAAGGAUGGGCCCGCGUCUGAUUAGCUAGUUGGUGAGGUAAUGGCUCACCAAGGCGACGAUCAGUAGCUGGUCUGAGAGGAUGAUCAGCCACACUGGGACUGAGACACGGCCCAGCCUCCUACGGGAGGCAGCAGUGGGGAAUAUUGGACAAUGGGGGCAACCCUGAUCCAGCCAUGCCGCGUGAGUGAUGAAGGCCUUAGGGUUGUAAAGCUCUUUUACCCGGGACGAUAAUGACUGUACCGGGAGAAUAAGCCCCGGCUAACUUCGUGCCAGCAGCCGCGGUAA